CGGUCCCUGCCCCUUCUGAAGCCUUACGUGUCACGUGAGAGAUUAUGUAGGAUCGGGCGGGGACAU
rnacentral:sRNA from 1 species